CUUGUUGGUGGGGUAAUGGCCCACCAAGGCGAUGACGGGUAGCCGGCCUGAGAGGGCGACCGGCCACACUGGGACUGAGACACGGCCCAGACUCCUACGGGAGGCAGCAGUGGGGAAUAUUGCACAAUGGGCGAAAGCCUGAUGCAGCGACGCCGCGUGAGGGAUGACGGCCUUCGGGUUGUAAACCUCUUUCAGCAGGGACGAAGCGCAAGUGACUGUACCUGCAGAAGAAGCACCGGCUAACUACGUGCCAGCAGCCGCGGUAAUACGUAGGGUGCGAGCGUUGUCCGGAUUUAUUGGGCGUAAAGAGCUUGUAGGCGGCUCGUCACGUCGGGUGUGAAAACUCGCGGCUCAACCGCGAGCCUGCACCCGAUACGGGCGGGCUAGAGUUCGGCAGGGGAGACUGGAAUUCCUGGUGUAGCGGUGGAAUGCGCAGAUAUCAGGAGGAACACCGGUGGCGAAGGCGGGUCUCUGGGCCGAUACUGACGCUGAGAAGCGAAAGCGUGGGGAGCGAACAGGAUUAGAUACCCUGGUAGUCCACGCCGUAAACGUUGGGAACUAGGUGUGGGGUCCAUUCCACGGGCUCUGUGCCGCAGCUAACGCAUUAAGUUCCCCGCCUGGGGAGUACGGCCGCAAGGCUAAAACUCAAAGGAAUUGACG
rnacentral:rRNA from 1 species